UCCAAAGAAUCUGGAAAUGAUGAAUUAAUUGGUUCAAGAAGUAAGACAACUAGUAAAACUGAGUCACAUAAUGCCUGUAAUAGAUCCAGCAGUCAGACCAAGACUAGUACAACUAAGUCACAGAAUGCCUGUAAUAGCUCCAGCAGUCAGACCAAGACUAGUACAACUAAGUCACAGAAUGCCUGUAAUAGUUCUAGUCAAAAAGAUGAUUAUCAAAUACCGACACCGCCGAGAAAAGCAGCACCAGAAAAAGCACACGAGUCCAGAGAGAGUGGAAGUAAAGUCAUGUCAAAUUCAAGACAAACUGACAAACCAGACAAGAUCAGACAAGAUCGAUCAAGGUCAAGAGAGAGUGGAAGUUAAGUCAUGUCAAAUUCAAGACAAACUGACAAACCAGACAAAAACAGACAAGAUCGAUCAAGGUCAAGAGAGAGAAUCAGGUCAUGGUCAAGACUGACAGACUAUAGCCAAGACAGAUCAAGGUCAAGAUCUAUGUCAAGAUAGACAGACAAAGGACAAGGCAGAUCAAGAUCUAUUUCGAGACUGACAGAUGAAAGAGGAAACAGGUCAAGAUCUAUGUCUAAACAAUCCGACUAUAGACAAGACAGAUUAAGAUCUCUGUCAAGACGGACAGAUGAAAGAAGAAAUAGGUCAAGAUCUAUGUCAAGACGGUCAGACUAUAGACGAGACAGGUCCAGAUCUCGGUCAAGACAAACACACAAGACACUAACAGGUCACGACAGAAGGACAGUAGACGAGACAGAUCACGAUCAAGGUCAAGACAGACGGACAAUAGACGAGACCGAUCACGAUCAAGGUCAAGACGAGACAGGUCGGGACAGUCAGACAAUAGACGGGACUGCAUGACGUCAAGACAUAAGGACAGCAGACUACCCAGCUUGACGUCAAGACGGAAAUCCAGACAGAGUGACAGCACUCCAGCUAGACUGGAUUACGGACAAACCCCAUCAGCAUCAAGACAGAGAGACGGUAAAAAUGCACACAAAAGUUCUGAUGGCUUUCCCAUGCCUGAGGCCAAAUUUCAGAGAAAAGUGUUCCAACUCUUAUUGGAAUUGAGGACAGGGCUUAAUGAUCUGGCUGGGAGACCUAUACAAAAUGUAGGUGCAGGUGUAUGUCCUUUGCCUGACUUAUUAACAACAAAGGCAGACACAGAAGAAGACUUCAACAAUAUAAAUGAAUUGUUGAAGAGACCCCAAGAAAAAAAGACC